GGAUUGUUCCAGACCCCUGACCUCCCUUGAAGAUGUCUUUUUGUUGGAUCUGGCCCUGUAUAUUUUCCAGUUGGUUCAAGACCUAGAGAAAUUUCUACAGACUCUCUCAUACCAGAAUGACAAGACCCAAAUGGGAGAAUUAGACCAGAAGCAACAAUGCCCUGGGGCUUAGUGAAAUUGACCAAAAUGUGAAGGCAUCAAGAAUACAAUUGAUCACACACAACUACAGAAAAGUUUCAUUUCAGGAGGUCAAACAGGAAGUUUCUUUCUGACUUAUAUUGAAGUACUCAUGAUGACAUGAUGACAACAGAGAAAAAUGAACAGAAUCUUUUAUGGGUAGGGACCAUGUGAUCUCUUUUCUUUCAAGCUCCAGAGGGUUUAUAAGACAUUUUCCAUGUUCAAUUUGAUUCC